rnacentral:rRNA from 1 species
AGUGAACGCUGGCGGCAGGCCUAACACAUGCAAGUCGAACGGCAGCACAGAGGAGCUUGCUCCUUGGGUGGCGAGUGGCGGACGGGUGAGGAAUACGUCGGAAUCUGCCUAUUUGUGGGGGAUAACGUAGGGAAACUUACGCUAAUACCGCAUACGACCUACGGGUGAAAGCGGAGGACCUUCGGGCUUCGCGCAGAUAGAUGAGCCGACGUCGGAUUAGCUUGUUGGCGGGGUAACGGCCCACCAAGGCGACGAUCCGUAGCUGGUCUGAGAGGAGGAGCGGCCAAACUGGAACUGAGACACGGUCCAGACUCCUACGGGAGGCAGCAGUGGGGAAUAUUGGACAAUGGGCGCAAGCCUGAUCCAGCCAUGCCGCGUGAGUGAAGAAGGCCCUCGGGUUGUAAAGCUCUUUUGUCCGGAAAGAAAAGCGCUCGGUUAAUACCCAAGCGUCAUGACGGUACCGGAAGAAUAAGCACCGGCUAACUUCGUGCCAGCCGCCGCCGUAAGAC